rnacentral:lncRNA from 1 species
AAAUAGGAGAAAUCUUUAGUAUCAAAUGCUCUUAAUAUUCUAUAAUCAUUUUUCUUUUCUUAACUUUGCCUGUGAUUGAAUGAUCAACCUUUAUCCUAGAAUUCCAGGCCCAAGCUUAAUCACAGAGCUAUCAAUCCGUUAACGCUAAAUUUGAGAUGCCCCAAAAUUCUUCUUAGAAUUAUCAAAAAUAGGAGAGCCCACAACUACUUCCAGUAGGCAAAGAAUCAACGACAUUCCCCUCUACUAGAAAACUAACUCAAGUCUUCCAUAAUAAUACCUUUCAGAUCAA